rnacentral:rRNA from 1 species
AGGAAUAUUGGUCAAUGGACGAGAGUCUGAACCAGCCAAGUAGCGUGAAGGAUGACUGCCCUAUGGGUUGUAAACCUCUUUUGCCGGGGAGCAGGGCGGCGGACGUGUCCGCCGUUUGCGAGUACCCGGAGAAAAAGCAUCGGCUAACUCCGUGCCAGCAGCCGCGGUAAUACGGAGGAUGCGAGCGUUAUCCGGAUUUAUUGGGUUUAAAGGGUGCGUAGGCGGGCUUUUAAGUCAGCGGUAAAAAUUCGGGGCUCAACCCCGUCCGGCCGUUGAAACUGGGGGCCUUGAGUGGGCGAGAAGAAGGCGGAAUGCGUGGUGUAGCGGUGAAAUGCAUAGAUAUCACGCAGAACCCCGAUUGCGAAGGCAGCCUUCCGGCGCCCUACUGACGCUGAGGCACGAAAGUGCGGGGAUCGAACAA